UCCGGUGAAGUGUUCGGAUUGCGGCGACGUGGGCGGUUUGCUGCUCGCGACGUCGAAAGAAGUCCACUGAACCUUAUCAUUUAGAGGAAGGAGAAGUCGUAACAAGGUUUCCGUAGGUGAACCUGCGGAAGGAUCAUUGUCGAAUCCUGCGAUAGCAGAAUGACCCGCUAACACGUAAAAACAUCGGGCAAGCGUCGGGGGGCUUCGGUCCCUUGUCUGCGAACCCUGGUAGGUGGCCCCUCUCGGGUGGCCACUGGCCUGCGAAAUCAUUCGGGCGCGGAAUGCGCCAAGGAACUUAAAAUUGAAUUGUAUGUCCGCAUCCCGUUAGCGGGCAGCGGCGUCAUUCCAAAAAACAACGACUCUCGACAACGGAUAUCUCGGCUCUCGCAUCGAUGAAGAACGUAGCGAAAUGCGAUACUUGGUGUGAAUUGCAGAAUCCCGUGAACCAUCGAGUCUUUGAACGCAAGUUGCGCCCGAAGCCACUAGGCUGAGGGCACGUCUGCCUGGGUGUCACGCAUCAUCUUUGCCCACAACCACUCACUCCUUGAGGAGCUGUGUCGGUUUGGGGCGGAAAUUGGCCUCCCGUGCCUUGUUGUGCGGUUGGCGCAAAAGCGAGUCUCCGGCGACGGACGUCGUGACAUCGGUGGUUGUAAAAGACCCUCAUGUCUUGUCGCGCGAAUCCGCGUCAUCUUAGUGAGCUCUAGGACCCUUAGGCGCCACACACUCUGUGCGCUUCGAUUGUGACCCCAGGUCAGGCGGGACUACCCGCUGAGUUUAAGCAUA
rnacentral:rRNA from 1 species